rnacentral:rRNA from 1 species
GACGAACGCUGGCGGCGUGCUUAACACAUGCAAGUCGAACGGAAAGGCCCUGCUUUUGUGGGGUGCUCGAGUGGCGAACGGGUGAGUAACACGUGAGUAACCUGCCCUUGACUUUGGGAUAACUUCAGGAAACUGGGGCUAAUACCGGAUAGGAGCUCCUGCUGCAUGGUGGGGGUUGGAAAGUUUCGGCGGUUGGGGAUGGACUCGCGGCUUAUCAGCUUGUUGGUGGGGUAGUGGCUUACCAAGGCUUUGACGGGUAGCCGGCCUGAGAGGGUGACCGGCAAAAUGGGGACUGAAGACGGGCCCAGCCUCCUGGGGGGGGGAAGAGGGGGGAAUGUUGCAAAAGGGGGGGAAGCCUGAGCGAACAAGCCCGGGGGGGGGGUGGGGGCCUGGGGUUUGUAAACCGCUUUCGCCUGGGAAGAAGGGGGGGGGACGGGAAGGGGUAAAAAACCCCCGGCAAAAUCCGGG